ACGAACGCUGGCGGCGUGCUUAACACAUGCCGGUCGAACGGAAAGGCCCUGCUUUUGUGGGGUGCUCGAGUGGCGAACGGGUGAGUAACACGUGAGUAACCUGCCCUUGACUUUGGGAUAACUUCAGGAAACUGGGGCUAAUACCGGAUAGGAGCUCCUGCUGCAUGGUGGGGGUUGGAAAGUUUCGGCGGUUGGGGAUGGACUCGCGGCUUAUCAGCUUGUUGGUGGGGUAGUGGCUUACCAAGGCUUUGACGGGUAGCCGGCCUGAGAGGGUGACCGGCCACAUUGGGACUGAGAUACGGCCCAGACUCCUACGGGAGGCAGCAGUGGGGAAUAUUGCACAAUGGGCGGAAGCCUGAUGCAGCAACGCCGCGUGCGGGAUGACGGCCUUCGGGUUGUAAACCGCUUUCGCCUGUGACGAAGCGUGAGUGACGGUAAUGGGUAAAGAAGCACCGGCUAACUACGUG
rnacentral:rRNA from 1 species